rnacentral:piRNA from 1 species
UGCUCCCUUUUCUCUAAUCACUCCGGAUCC